rnacentral:rRNA from 1 species
AAGUCGAACGGUAACAUUUCUAGCUUGCUAGAAGAUGACGAGUGGCGGACGGGUGAGUAAUGCUUGGGAACUUGCCUUUGCGAGGGGGAUAACAGUUGGAAACGACUGCUAAUACCGCAUAAUGUCUUCGGACCAAACGGGGCUUCGGCUCCGGCGCAGAGAGGCCCAAGUGAGAUUAGCUAGUUGGUAAGGUAAAGGCUUACCAAGGCAACGAUCUCUAGCUGUUCUGAGAGGAAGAUCAGCCACACUGGGACUGAGACACGGCCCAGACUCCUACGGGAGGCAGCAGUGGGGAAUAUUGCACAAUGGGGGAAACCCUGAUGCAGCCAUGCCGCGUGUGUGAAGAAGGCCUUCGGGUUGUAAAGCACUUUCAGUUGUGAGGAAAAGUUAGUAGUUAAUACCUGCUAGCCGUGACGUUAACAACAGAAGAAGCACCGGCUAACUCCGUGCCAGCAGCCGCGGUAAUACGGAGGGUGCGAGCGUUAAUCGGAAUUACUGGGCGUAAAGCGCACGCAGGCGGUUUGUUAAGCUACAUGUGAAAGCCCCGGGCU